GGUUGUGGGCACAUCCCCAGUAGGAGGUGUACAGGAGGCAGCUGAUCGAUGUUUUUAGCUCUCUAUCCCUCUCUCUUCCUCUCUGUAAAAAAUCAAUAAAAUAUAUUUUUAAAAAAUACCUUAUUUGAUAAAUUUUGAAGUACCAUACUAUAAAUUUAUUUAGAAUAAUAUGUUUUAAAACAGUGUUGUUUUAAGUGCUUGUUUAUUAAACUAAAAAGUUGUAUCUCAAUGGUUAAAUAUUAUGUAAAGUGAAGUAUUUCCAUUAGAGAUUAGGUUAUUGAUUGGUAUUUUUAAACCUAUUUUAUGGCUUUAUCACAGUAUAUAGAGAGCAAGAAAGAAAUCUAUCAAAAUUUACUAAGCCAGGCAUUGCCACUGUUCUGUCCUAGAUACUAGUAGAUACAGUAUCUUUCAUUGAAAGAUUCUAGGAAAAUAGGGAAAGACUUUUCUCUUGUGUUCCUACCAUUCCUGAGGGUUCCAUAUUUACAGUUUAACCUUGUGAUUUUGAUAGGACAAAACUUACAAACUGUAGAAUUUUCAUUGGCACUGUUAAUGUUUUCAAAUGGCAAGGGACAUGGGAGCCACCAUGUAGCAAUGCAGUGAGUGUUAAAUUUUAUGUUUAUCUAAAUCUUGAUUUGUUGUUCGGCUCAUAUCUUUCUGGGCUUGGCAUGGCUGAUGUAAUUAAAACCAUCUUGCCACUAAAACCCAUUUUAUCUUUUCUCUAAUGGGGACAGAAAAUAGUUAAGUCUCUUCUACCUAGUAAUGUUUCACAUACGUUAUGUAUUAUCUUCUUUUCAUUUAAACAGUCCUAAUUUAUAAUAGUAUGCAAAUUUUAUUUUUUUUAACACUUAGAUAUAAUCCCACAAUUCUCCAUAACUUUAAAAAUAUUUUGUGGGUCAGUGAUUCUCAAGAUAAAUCAUGGUUGUGGUAGUUGUUACUAUUGGCAAUUUGUACGAUUCUUCAGGUGUUUCGGGGCUAGGAAAAAAAAUUGCCCCAAAUCACUGUGUUUUAUCUGGUGAUCAGGGUGAUUCCUACAAUGUUAUAGUCAUCUCCAUGAAAACUGAGCAUACUGGGCAUACACAUUUCUCAAACUCAUUUUUUUCUGGUAUGAAAGUAAUAUAUGUUGAACAAUUGAGAAAUAUGGAAAAUGAUAAAUGAGAAAAUAAAAAUAAUUUUUCAUUUAGUAAUAGCACUGCCAAUAUUUUAUUGGAUUUUUCCCAUUCUUUUUCUAUGCAUACAUAGUUUAUGGAGUGAAGGGAUAUAGCAAUGUUUAACUUUUUGAAUUGAUAAAAUUAAUACACUUUAGUCUAAAUUAUAGGAAAUAUUUGUAAGCAAAGAAGGUAAAACUGCUCAUAAUUUUAUACCCAUAAAUAACUACUAUUAAUAUUUGGUUUAUAUCUUUCAAUUUUCUCAGAAGACAACUUUUUCCCUAAAAUCAAAAAAUAAGAUUUCCCUCUAUAUUGUCAUAGAUCCUUUUAGGGAUGUUUAUCGAGCUCUCACAUGCCCAUUUCUUUGGGGCCCCUGAACAUUACAUUGGUACUGGAUGUCAUCUAGCCAUGGUGGACCCAUGCUUGGCUCAUUACAUUUUUUUCCUGGGUAGAUGUGUCCACAACUAUACUGUUUUAGUGGCAAGAUGGUUUUAGCUGUACCACAUUCUUCCAUGAGGAAGGAGUCACCAUCAAGCUGAAGAAUGAAGCAGACAUCAAGGACAAGUGGGAUGGAAGGACAUAGGAAAAAAACCUUGAUAGCUUUGCAUUUCCUGUAUGGGGCCUGACUGCUCACCCAUAUUUUGUCCCAUUAAUCCCAGUAAUAUUUUUAUUCUGUUUUCUCCCUGAGCUAGUUUGAAUUGGUUUCCUGUUACUUUCAACUGGAGAAUUUUAACAAACACAAAGGGACAGUGGAUCCUAGGGAAAAAAAUCAACCAAGAAAAAAAUUACAGCAUAUAUUUCUGAUGUCUCCAGACCAAGGCCUACCUCCAUAAUGUGCUACUGAGCCCGAAAAGUGGCAGAGGCUGUGGCGACCCCGGACGGAGAGACAACUCCUCUUAUUAAUGAUAACUUUGCUUCACGGACCCAUGUGGUCCAGACCAUCAGUACACUUCGAAGAAGGACGUAUGCUGCUCCUCCCUCACUGGCAGUUUCUUGGCUGAUGCCUGUUCUCAUGUCUCCAUCUCCUUGGACAUCACGUGUCUUCUGGGGGCCUGGAUAGGAGAAGUACGUGCUCUCACUUCCCCAGGACGGAGAGCCUCUAGAGUGCCGCUGCUUCCAGUGUGGUCCCGGACCACCCGCCUCCUCCGGGGGCCUAGGCCACCUGCUCAAAACACCAAGUAUACUUGGUCCCCCUCCCACACACACUGAAUCAAACUUUCUGGAGGUGUUGCCAGAAACUGCAUUUUUUACAAGCCCCCAGGAGAGUCCCGGCAGCUACAUCUCAGCACCAGGAGGAAGGAAGCCUCAGGAGCCCUGAGGUGGGCCUGCGCUUGGUGCGGGGGAGGGAGAGACUGAAGAGAAGAGGCAGGGAAGUGUGGCCCAGCCCGUCAGGACAGAGCCAACCACCUGUCCUCAGCACAGCUCUCCAGCCACACAAGUCACAGGGACCAGCGAUUGUGCAGGGGAACCAGCUGUCCCCCUGGCUCAUGUGUUGUCCCAUAAUCCUCUCAGGGCAUGAAGGGGCUGCCCACACAUUCAGGACCUCCUCUUUCCGAGCACAAAAGAAGCUUUGGAGCUGUAGGGACAGGGCUGAGACACACGUCUUAGCACAUUGCGUGACUUUAGGGAAAAAAAAAUACAGCGACCAAAGGAGGUUUUAGAAACUCUCACCAGCCCUGGCCACCCCCUAUAAUACACGCUAUGGAAAAGCACACAUUUUGACUAUUCAAGAAGAGGGUCCUAAUGCACUAAUAACUAGUAAUUAUAUUGUUCUCUGAGUUACCAGCUCAACAUGCUCAACACUUCCUGUUUAUUGCCAACAUCCACCCCAUGGUCUCGAUAGUUCCCUUUCCUCCAGACACUCCUGGGAAAACUCACUCUGUGGUUCUCAACCGGGGGCAGUUUUGCCUCUGCUCCCCUCGAAGGGGGCAUCUGGCAAAGCCUGAAGACACUUUGGUUGCCACACCUUGGGGGUAGGAGGGGAUGGGGCUACUGGUAUCUAGUGGGAGAGGCCGAGGUUGCUACCUACCACCCCGCAGGGCACAGCCCGCCCCCAGGAAAAAGCGGUGUCCGCAGUCAAGUGAGAACCCUGCUCUGGCAGCUUCCAGCCGAGAGCAGUUUUUACAUUUGUAGGUGCAACUUAAAACAGGUUUCUAAAACCUUUACAUUUUAAAAAGGUAUAUUCUAAAGAGUCAAGUAACACAGUCUCAUCUGGAUGGACAUUCACAGUAUUUCACAGUAUUUACUAAAUUAAGCAAACCUUCUGUUGUUUUUCUGAAAAAUUUUAAGGUCUGUGCCAAUCUGUGUGUCCAGGCUGGCAGGCUGGUGGGAUGCAGGAUCUGACUUGUCAGAGGGGACAGACCUUGACCGGCUUCUGGGUCCCAGCAGCUUCUCCCAAUCACAGACCAAAGUCAGCUUUUGUUUCCUAUAAUCUCUAUUCUGCAAAAUGGCAAAAUCCCCACCCUUACCCCAGUUAUUAAGACGGGGAGUGCACUUGCUGUUAACAUUCUUCACCUCCAUUCCACCUGAAGGUCCUGAACUCAGAAAACACCAAGGUCGGCCACACGGCCUUGAUGUCUCUUGAACUCCCAUCCCCUCGAGUUGGCCUGGGCCACUCGCACUGUCAGGAGCUUACCACGUAGGCUGCUUGAGUUCAGGCCUUCUGGUGAUUCCCUCCCCCCAGCGUGGCUCCCCGCCCCUCCACGCUUCUCUCUCCCUUGCACCCCUCGGCGCUUUCUGCUGCUGUGUGGCUUCUCGGGGCAGAAAGGUCCUAAUUCUUCAAACCACCUGAACUAGCCUCUUUUAUUUCUCGGCCCGGAGCUCCCAGUGAGCUUCUGCUCAUUGUCAAGUUUGUUAAAUCACUGGCCCAGGCCAGUCACAUUUCCUUCCAGGUGCCCAUUCCGACUCCUCCUUAUCCAGUCAAUCACGCUCUGAGCACCUUUUCUUUUCGAGAGGGGUCAUUUUUACAUUUCCGUCCUGAGGCAUCGGCAGCCAGAGAGCAGGUCCGUCCACCUGUCUGGUCCUGAUUUCUAAAAACUAACCUUUCCCUUCUACAAGUGUCAUCUAAAAGUCAUUAGGAGGCUAGUCUACCUUUAUGUGCCCUGCUGCUUCAUUAGACCGGAGAGACCGAAAAUCCAGCUCUCCAGGUAGGUGCUGAAGUUUGAUUUGACUCAGAUCCUAUAAGCCAGGGGUGAUAUGCCGAUGCCCUGUACGUAUUGUGGGGUCAAAAGGUUUUACCGUUUAUUUAGAUGGAAUAAGAACUUGAAGAGUUGCCUUUUAAUGCCACUGUUUUAUGUACUUUUAAACAAAAUGUAUUUUUCACAUUCAUAAUGAAUUCUGUGAUAUCAGGCAAAAUGUACAUCUUAAAGUGAGCCUCAUUAGUCUUUUCAGGAUUAGUAAGGAAGUACAGAGUUUUAAUAGAGAAAAGUAUCAAAGAGUGGAAAACAAAGAACUUAUACAUAAAAAUCAAGAUACACAAUUAAUGCCCUCUGUUUAAGUGGCUCCACUCUGAGCAUAAACAACCUGGGAAAGAUGGGCUUCCAGCCCGUCUAGAGGACAGCUGGGCAGCCUCUCCCAGGGCUGGGAGCACCAUGGUUGUUCUCACAGCAACUGCAGGCCUCCCAGGCCCUCUGUGCAGAGGCAGAAAUAAUAACUGCUUGUUCGUAAGAUCAGUGCCACCAGGUUCCCUUCCAACAGCUUAAGAGCCCAAACAUGAUAAAUGGAGAGGAUUAUGCCACCUGUUAUUUGAGUCUCUCUCACAAAUCCAUAAAACACCCGAAAAACCAUGAAUCAACUAGAACCAGAGGCCCUUCCGUACUGGAAGCUUCUGGAAAAGCCCUUGUGGAAGACGGGGUUAUUAUUUCCAAUACUCUCCGUGCCUCCUCUUCAGAGGUUACAUUUUCCCAGCCCAUUGACGUCAGGCCUGACCACGGGCCCUGCUUCAGCCAAUCUGCCGCUUCUGAGCAGACGCGUCCGGAGCUGGUGCUUUGCUGUCCAGCUCUCUUCCCUAUCCCACGAGAUCAGAAAAACCCCAGACAGAGCCCUCUCCUCGGCCGGGGGCCCGACAACACGAAGCAGAGGCACCGCGGACCUGAUGCACAGACACGCCGGGUGGGCGAGAAACCAACGCUCUGCGGCCAGUGCUGAGAUUUCAGGGUCACAGCACGACCCACCUCUUCUGAGGGCUCGGCUCCCGGCAGAGUCUGAGUGCCUGCCCACCCAUCCUGCCUCUCUUUGGUGUCAGGUUAAAUUCAACUUCACCAUCCCCUACCACGUACAUGGCACAGAGCUUUUUGAAAUCAAACAGUAAUAAACAUCAUCUCGUGACACACAUUACAGCCUGGCAACUAUCUCAGAAGCAUGUGCCAUAUUGUUAGUCACUGCUGCAAUAAAGGCUUUGCUCUUCUAAUAUAUUUACUUUAGGGUUAAUGGAUGGAAGCGCUGGGAAGUAAGGAAACCCCCGUUGAGUCAACGAGAUCAUCAGAAGCCACUGCGAGAGGCAGCUCGAAGAAUCACUUCCCAUGCCAGGCUGCCCUGAGGCCUCUUACCAAAUGGCCGACUCACUUGGAGCUGCCCCUGCUUUCCUCCCUCUGCUUCUGUUUCUUCCAUCCCAGGGUGGCCCCAGCCACCUCCUGCAGCCACCGGUUAGGACUGCAAAUUGGAAGUCUGCUCCUAAUAAGCACAGGAAGAUCUGAGCUUUGUCUGAAGGAGAAGCCUCAGUCAAAUGGCAGCUCCGGAGACACUUCUAGGACCAGCGGGUACCAGGUGUUGCCACAGAGCAAAGGUGCAGGGCUGCCCGCAGGCCUGUCGCCAACAUGGGCCAGGCCAGGACUUCCCAAACAAUGGAGACCACGGGGCUAGAGUGAGGGUCUCAACUAGCAGAGGGGCAAGAGAUCAUGGAGGAGAACGGGAGGAUGACAGGCCUCGGUCUCUGGCUACCGAACGGGAGGUAAUGGCAGCGGGGACAUAGACCAAGCAAAGCAGAGAGCAUGAGACGCUGCGCCAAUGCCUCCGGCACCAGGCGGAAGCAGGGAGUCGCAGGUUCGCCAUCCGCCAUGACCCCACUUAAAUUUUUUCGCCUAGUCUCCAUGAGAAUCAGAAUAUUCCUUCUAUAAAUAAGGACAUUUCAGAGUGGAAGGAGGAGACAUACAAUAGGGUGAAAACUGGUGGAUUUCUGGGAGACCCUCAUCAGCUCAUGAGUGUGCCUGCCAUGUUAAGACUGAAAUUUGUUAUUUUUCAAUUACAAUUGACACUUAACAUUAUUUUAUAUUGGUUUCAGAUGAAUAGCAUAGUGAUUAGACGUUUACAUGAUUUUAUGAAGUGAUGCCCCUGAUAAGUCUAGUACCCACCUGACACCACGCAUAGUUAUGACAAUAUUAUUUACUAUAGUCCCUGUGCUGUGCUUUACAUCCCGGGACUAUUUUCUAACUACCAAUUUGUACAUUUUCGUCCCUUCACUUUUUUCUCUCCCCCCUCCCCCCGCCAACCUCGCCUCCACUUGGCAAACAUCAGUCUGUUCUCUGUAUCUACGAGUCUGUUUCUGUUUUUGUUUGCUUGUGUUGCUCUUUAGAUGCCACAAAACUGAAGUUGUUUUCAGUUAGGUAUUGACUCCUUUUGAACCUAGUUCUUUAAAAACAAACAAACACAGCAAUAAAGUGUCACUUUACAAACUCAAUAAUUAGUACAAACUAAAAAUGUUAAUCUGGAAGUAGCCACAUGUACUUUAAAAAUGGCAGAAAAGCUUUUCUUUCCCUGCCCCUCCCCUGGCCCUGAACACCAGAACCAUUAAUGCUACCGACAGAAGGAAACAGGAGUGGUUCAUGUGAAAACUGCCCCUCGGUGCCAAGGUUCCAAGCAACCGUUCAGGAGGUGAUGUGUACACAGCAGAAACCUCAUCCCAGAGUGGCCCAGGGGACAGGCCAGUGAAACUCCAGCCCAAGAACCUCCUGGAGGGCAUAGGGCAGGAUCAGCCCACAGAGUGGCCUUCGCCCAGGAUCCCAUUAAAACAAGCACAUCACAAAGCUCCCAGCAGCCACAGGUUUGCUUGCAAAGCUUUCAGGGGAGUGAAGCGUUUCUAGUUACUCACUACAGGAUAUGAACGGGGCCUAAUAACCAAAGCAACCCAUACCCUUAAAAACCAAGAGCCUAACUGGGUAUCUGCCCUGGGAUCAAGGCAAUGCUAGUCAUUGCUCACCACCUUAAAAAACUCCUACCUUCUCACUGAGGUCACUUCUGUUUCUAGCCCGUACUGCUAAGCAGUAGUGGGAUUAAGGGUUUUAAAACGAUUUAAAGUAAAAGGCCAAAGUCUAGUGUAGACUAUGUUCAUAUUUAUAAAAGCAUCACUGAAAAGUUCAGUCUCACUGGGUUUCUUGUUGUUGUUUUGUGUUUUGAUGCUGGCUUUUACAACCUGCAGGCCUAUGGUCUAAACCGGCCUGUGCUGUGUCCACAGUACACACUGCCUGACAGCGAGCUUAGAGAAGGAUCUGAAAACAGCCUGAGUAUUUACACAUCAAACACACAUGCAAUAAAGAACAAAAUGUACAACGUACAUGUGUGCAAACAUGACUCUUUAUAACUUAAUUUAUGUAUAGGAGAUUUCCCCUCUCUAGUGCCGUCUCAUAUUUAAACCCAUGAAAUACGGUGUGAUCAGGACUGCAUGCAGACACAUACACACACACACAUAACUGUUGAUUUUUAAACAUCUAAAAAAUCAGCAAGACAGACUUGUCCACUGAAACUACACUCAGUUCAUUAAACACUGUCCAUCUCAGUGAUUUCAUAGCCAGAGAUCAAGUUACCUGGUGGUUUUCAACUCUCCCUAACUAGAAUGCCAAACUCAAAAUGGCAGGCAGGCUUAAACUUUCCUCAUCUAUUAACUAGAGGAAUUCCCCAGAUAUUUAGGAUUCAAACUGUGUUUUGCAAACAGAUGCUUAUGUGUCAUUCCCAGAACAACACGCUCUUCGAGGAAAAGCAAGUUCAUUGUACAGUUGCCAGUAGCUUCAGGUACUUGCAGAUACGGAACACUGUACAGUUGCCAAUAGCUUCAGGUACUUGCAGAUACGGGACAAUCUGUAAAUGCAGACAACAGUCUUGGCCUGCGUCGCUGAACUGGCCUAAUGACUCAGGAAUGUUCCAGGCAGCAGGAGGAGGUCCAAUGAGCCUAGAUGAAUCAGUGCAGACUCAGAGUUCAAGGCAGUCAGAGAAACCCUGUUCUGGAAAUCUGAGCCCUGGUACUUGUUCAUAAGCUCCACUAUUCUCUUUCUGGAAACAGGGACUCACUGUUAACAGCUUUAACAAUAGUGAGGCAUAGUAAAUAGAGAUACAGUUCAACUGGAUGUCUCACAGGAAAGAGAGUAUGUAUCAGAAGACCAAGCCAUUAAAAAACGAAAGAGAAAUCCCUGGGAAGGCUGGGAGAGAAUGGUUUUUGGUUCACUUCCUUAAGAAGAGACAGCCCUAACUCCCUCUUCCCCAGCCCAACUGCCAGGGCUGCUAACCACGGCGGGUGAAGAGGAAGCCUCCCCGUGCCAUGCACUCCAGGUGCCACAGUGGGCUCCUGCCACCAUCCUCCUGGCAUGCGCCAGGCCAGAGUGGAUGACUCACUAGAACCCGCAUGGCUCGGUAACCGACAGGUGCCAGGCAGAAGAGCCCGGAGGAUGAAUGAAGGGGAAAACACAGACUGUGUUUUGGUUGGGUGAUAAACAGGAGCAUGCCCGGAGUGCUGACACCGUUCUCUGAACUACCAGAGUCAUUACAGCACACGACUUCCCACAGUCCUGCUCCCCACGGGCUCGGGAGAGAACACCCACAGGGGCAGGGAAAGUCCCCGCAUCCCAGUGCCAAGCUCUCCCAUGACAAUUCUGGGUCCCAGCAUGAAAUACGGGCCAGGCGAUGUUUGGGGGAAGGUCUCACCCCCAGGUUACGGGUGAGCUCAACAGCCACCCUUCUCAAGGCUGCUACCAACCCGCUGCUCCACCCUUGCAGACCAGUGAGCUCAUCCAGAAAGGCAGCAUCGGGAGUGGUUCAGCCUGGAGCCAGACUGUCUGGAUUUGAAUCCUGGCUUGAAUCCUCGGGCACCUUUGCACCUCAGUUCCCGUUUGUCAAGUGGGGUGCUAAUGGUGCCGACCACAUAGGCUUGUUGUGAAGAUCAAUUAAAUAAAAUAACAAGUUUAGAACAGCGUUUGGCACAUGACAAGUAUCCCAUUCACGUAGCCUACUCUUCUCGGAACAGGCUCCGGCCUCUCGCCCCCCAACCCCACAUCAGCACGGCCACCUGAGGUCACACUCCGGCACUGCCAUUUAGGACUUCCUGUCCGGGGCCACCUGGCAUGUGGGCAAUUGGCCUCACCUUCACAUACCAAUUUCCCCUGGAAAAGGAGUCCUGCGGCAGAAAGCACACAAAAUGGAGCCAGACCUACUUCAGUGCCAUCACCCUGCCGGACCCUCAACCAGCUCAAGCCUUCGGACAAUGAACUUCCCUGAAGUGGGAGUGACCAAAGUAUCUACCUCCCAGGGCGCUACAGGAUUACAAAACCCAUGCAUGUAAAGCAAGGUAUAAAAGUAAGUACUCGAUAGGUGGUGGGAAUCAAUACUAUAAUCAUCAUAGUGGUUAACAUUUAUGUUUCUGUUCUUGAAGGUCUGUCUAUCUCCACACGGCCACACAUACAAAAUCAUCUUCUAAUAUCAUUAACUCACUAUAGUCUGAAGUUUGUUAAAUGGCAAAGUCAUAUGUGGGGGGCGGGGAAACACCAGAUAGGAAGCAGGGGGGAAAUGUGGUUUCUGCUCUCGGCUCUCAACUAACUGGGGUGUGAGCAUGUACAGCCCCCUAACUACUCUGGCUUCAGUGUCUCAAGUACAGAGUGAGAGGGGAGGUUCUGGCGAUCACCACCGUCACUCUGGGCUCCCAAAGUCAGUCAUUUCAAGCACAUGACCACCUUCACCACUUUCUCCCAGACCAGCGGCUCCCCUGGAGCAGGUGGCUCUCCAAGACCCACGCCUCUGCUGGAUGGGAGACAGGGACCCCCUUAGAUUAUGACGAAUGCCAAGUGCAGGGGUAGAAGGAUCUUACCUGACCACAGAGCAAGUAAACCAGGGGCUGGGGCAUACCCGUGGGCACUGCACAGGGCCAUGGCCAAAGGGCCUGGGCUAGACUGGCUCCUCCUCGCGCCUUUAUUCCUGGGGUGGAGAACCCACCUCUAGCCCUUCACUCCCAGUUCCCGAGUGUCUCCAAGUCUUGGAAACACAGCAGAGAAGUUCCACUCCAGUCUUGUAACAGUUGGAAAUGAGGCCUCCCCUGUCCUCAUCAUCCAAGAUGGCGCCUGCUCAGAACCCUUCUCAGUUCUGAAAAUCCACACUCCUAAACGGGUCUUUCCUUUCUUAGGGUGCUUUUGCUCCCUAUUCUGGAGAAGUAAAAUGCUUGAUCAUGAAGAAUUUCAUAUCCAUAAGCCAGAGGACAUGGUAGGGUGCAGAGUUUCAAUCACUCUUUAAUAAAGGGUGACAACUGAUGAACAAAAGCAUCUCAGUGGGAGUUUCUCCAGCGGGAGAAACUGAACACAGAGAACCCAUUUUAAGUGCUUUGGUUUCAGGCAGGAGUCAAAAGUCAUACCCCUUUUAUUUCAAAACAUAAACCGUAUGAAACUGUCCCAUAAAAUUAGUAUUUGCUGCUGUUAUUCUCUGCUCCGUGGUGAAUUAUGAAAGUGCAAUUCUCUCAUCAGUUAUAAAUGGCCCCAGAACACUGAGUUGCAUCUAUCCAGGGGCACUUAUUUCUGAUGAGUAUUCUUAUUAAUGACCUAAUAAAACGUCUCAUUUUGUUAUGAUCAACCAAAUGAUUUAAACGAUAUUUAAAAAUUUACACUCCAACCCAAUAGCCUGCUGAUGAAUCUGCUGGGCUGACAUUAAUUUAAAGUGAUUUUCAAUUUUACGUGGCAUUAUCAGCGAGAUCAUGGAUAGACUUUUUUCUAAAACAUUUUUUUUUUAAUCAAAUUUGGUCCUGCCCAGCC